UACGGAGGUUGCAAGCGUUGUUCGGAAUGACUGGGCGUAAAGGGAGCGCAGGCGGCCAAGUCAGUCUGAAGUGAAAGCCCGGGGCUUAACCCCGGAAUAGCUUUGGAUACUGCCUGGCUUGAGUGUGCGAUAGGAAAGCGGAAUUCCAGGUGUAGCGGUGAAAUGCGUAGAUAUCUGGAGGAACACCGGUGGCGAAAGCGGCUUUCUGGCGCAUAACUGACGCUGAGGCUCGAAAGCGUGGGGAGCGAACGGGAUUAGAUACCCCUGUAGU
rnacentral:rRNA from 1 species